GGUUAAGCGACUAAGCGUACACGGUGGAUGCCCUGGCAGUCAGAGGCGAUGAAGGACGUGCUAAUCUGCGAUAAGCGUCGGUAAGGUGAUAUGAACCGUUAUAACCGGCGAUUUCCGAAUGGGGAAACCCAGUGUGUUUCGACACACUAUCAUUAACUGAAUCCAUAGGUUAAUGAGGCGAACCGGGGGAACUGAAACAUCUAAGUACCCCGAGGAAAAGAAAUCAACCGAGAUUCCCCCAGUAGCGGCGAGCGAACGGGGAGCAGCCCAGAGCCUGAAUCAGUGUGUGUGUUAGUGGAAGCGUCUGGAAAGGCGCGCGAUACAGGGUGACAGCCCCGUACACAAAAAUGCACAUGCUGUGAGCUCGAUGAGUAGGGCGGGACACGUGGUAUCCUGUCUGAAUAUGGGGGGACCAUCCUCCAAGGCUAAAUACUCCUGACUGACCGAUAGUGAACCAGUACCGUGAGGGAAAGGCGAAAAGAACCCCGGCGAGGGGAGUGAAAAAGAACCUGAAACCGUGUACGUACAAGCAGUGGGAGCCUCUUUAUGGGGUGACUGCGUACCUUUUGUAUAAUGGGUCAGCGACUUAUAUUCUGUAGCAAGGUUAACCGAAUAGGGGAGCCGAAGGGAAACCGAGUCUUAACUGGGCGUUAAGUUGCAGGGUAUAGACCCGAAACCCGGUGAUCUAGCCAUGGGCAGGUUGAAGGUUGGGUAACACUAACUGGAGGACCGAACCGACUAAUGUUGAAAAAUUAGCGGAUGACUUGUGGCUGGGGGUGAAAGGCCAAUCAAACCGGGAGAUAGCUGGUUCUCCCCGAAAGCUAUUUAGGUAGCGCCUCGUGAAUUCAUCUCCGGGGGUAGAGCACUGUUUCGGCAAGGGGGUCAUCCCGACUUACCAACCCGAUGCAAACUGCGAAUACCGGAGAAUGUUAUCACGGGAGACACACGGCGGGUGCUAACGUCCGUCGUGAAGAGGGAAACAACCCAGACCGCCAGCUAAGGUCCCAAAGUCAUGGUUAAGUGGGAAACGAUGUGGGAAGGCCCAGACAGCCAGGAUGUUGGCUUAGAAGCAGCCAUCAUUUAAAGAAAGCGUAAUAGCUCACUGGUCGAGUCGGCCUGCGCGGAAGAUGUAACGGGGCUAAACCAUGCACCGAAGCUGCGGCAGCGACGCUUAUGCGUUGUUGGGUAGGGGAGCGUUCUGUAAGCCUGUGAAGGUGUGCUGUGAGGCAUGCUGGAGGUAUCAGAAGUGCGAAUGCUGACAUAAGUAACGAUAAAGCGGGUGAAAAGCCCGCUCGCCGGAAGACCAAGGGUUCCUGUCCAACGUUAAUCGGGGCAGGGUGAGUCGACCCCUAAGGCGAGGCCGAAAGGCGUAGUCGAUGGGAAACAGGUUAAUAUUCCUGUACUUGGUGUUACUGCGAAGGGGGGACGGAGAAGGCUAUGUUGGCCGGGCGACGGUUGUCCCGGUUUAAGCGUGUAGGCUGGUUUUCCAGGCAAAUCCGGAAAAUCAAGGCUGAGGCGUGAUGACGAGGCACUACGGUGCUGAAGCAACAAAUGCCCUGCUUCCAGGAAAAGCCUCUAAGCAUCAGGUAACAUCAAAUCGUACCCCAAACCGACACAGGUGGUCAGGUAGAGAAUACCAAGGCGCUUGAGAGAACUCGGGUGAAGGAACUAGGCAAAAUGGUGCCGUAACUUCGGGAGAAGGCACGCUGAUAUGUAGGUGAGGUCCCUCGCGGAUGGAGCUGAAAUCAGUCGAAGAUACCAGCUGGCUGCAACUGUUUAUUAAAAACACAGCACUGUGCAAACACGAAAGUGGACGUAUACGGUGUGACGCCUGCCCGGUGCCGGAAGGUUAAUUGAUGGGGUUAGCGGUAACGCGAAGCUCUUGAUCGAAGCCCCGGUAAACGGCGGCCGUAACUAUAACGGUCCUAAGGUAGCGAAAUUCCUUGUCGGGUAAGUUCCGACCUGCACGAAUGGCGUAAUGAUGGCCAGGCUGUCUCCACCCGAGACUCAGUGAAAUUGAACUCGCUGUGAAGAUGCAGUGUACCCGCGGCAAGACGGAAAGACCCCGUGAACCUUUACUAUAGCUUGACACUGAACAUUGAGCCUUGAUGUGUAGGAUAGGUGGGAGGCUUUGAAGUGUGGACGCCAGUCUGCAUGGAGCCGACCUUGAAAUACCACCCUUUAAUGUUUGAUGUUCUAACGUUGACCCGUAAUCCGGGUUGCGGACAGUGUCUGGUGGGUAGUUUGACUGGGGCGGUCUCCUCCUAAAGAGUAACGGAGGAGCACGAAGGUUGGCUAAUCCUGGUCGGACAUCAGGAGGUUAGUGCAAUGGCAUAAGCCAGCUUGACUGCGAGCGUGACGGCGCGAGCAGGUGCGAAAGCAGGUCAUAGUGAUCCGGUGGUUCUGAAUGGAAGGGCCAUCGCUCAACGGAUAAAAGGUACUCCGGGGAUAACAGGCUGAUACCGCCCAAGAGUUCAUAUCGACGGCGGUGUUUGGCACCUCGAUGUCGGCUCAUCACAUCCUGGGGCUGAAGUAGGUCCCAAGGGUAUGGCUGUUCGCCAUUUAAAGUGGUACGCGAGCUGGGUUUAGAACGUCGUGAGACAGUUCGGUCCCUAUCUGCCGUGGGCGCUGGAGAACUGAGGGGGGCUGCUCCUAGUACGAGAGGACCGGAGUGGACGCAUCACUGGUGUUCGGGUUGUCAUGCCAAUGGCACUGCCCGGUAGCUAAAUGCGGAAGAGAUAAGUGCUGAAAGCAUCUAAGCACGAAACUUGCCCCGAGAUGAGUUCUCCCUGAC
rnacentral:rRNA from 1 species